UAGCUAGAUAGCAUCCUUUAUAGGAUUUCUAGAAACUUAAUGAGCUAUUCUAAGACUAUAUAUUAGUAAAAGAAACUAAAUGUAGCAAAAUUUUUUUUAGAUCUUAGAAUCGAAGUUAGAUGCUAUUCGUAUUAAGUGAUAGCUAGUUUUUUCAUAAAGAUAUAGAAGUAUCAAGCUUGAUAAGCUUAAUUUAUAUUUUAAUAUAAGUUUGUGCUUCAAGUUUCAAAAUUUUCAAGGAUAAGCUUGAAAAUAACAAUAAUAAUUUAUUAGUUAUAAGUUUGAAAUCUAGGCUUGAAAUUAGCCAUAAUAUAGAAUUUGUUAUAAUUCAUCAAAAAAAUAAUAUAAAAUUUUUAUAGUUGUUAAUAUGAAAAGUAUUUUCUAAAUUUCAUGAAAAUACUAUUAUGCUAAGAUGAGUAUUGGUUAAAAAUCAUAUGAUCUAAAAAUUUAAGCUAUGAUUGUUAAUUAGAAUAUUAAUGAAGUAAUUCAUAACAAGGAACUCGGCAAAAAUUCUGCUCUGCCUGUUUAUCAAAAACAUGGCUCUCUG
rnacentral:rRNA from 1 species